rnacentral:lncRNA from 1 species
AAGAAGCCUGACCGCUGUGUGACCGAGAAGAGUUUUUUAGGAUGUUGGUCUGUCGUCUUCUCGGUCAGCUGGCUUUCUGAAUCAGGCCACUCUUCUUGCCCCAACAUCUCAUCUCCUGAUUUACUGGCCUGUCCCUACAGUGAACAUGAGGAGUUGGGACUCAGUAUAUCAGCUGGAGGGAGGCCAGAGGAUCCUGUUUGUAAAAACCGUAUUCGAAGCUGUAUUCCACAACCAAAGAUUUUCUCAGAGCUGCCCCUUAUGUUGCCUUUCUCAAUCGUUUUGACAAGAAACACCAGCAGGAACAGUCAAGACUUGGAAGAAAUCGGAUUGGGUCAGAAAGAAGGGGGACCUUGGAUAAUGACAGUAAUUGUCACAACUUCCAAUCUUCCUCAAGCUUUAGAGUUCAGGACUCUGGAUCCCCUCACCAAGGCCACGGCACCAGAGAGGAUGAAAAGGGCCGAUGUUGCAUCUCAGCUGCCCUCUUAGCUGACUAGCCGCAUGGAAAAAAAGUAAGCAUUUUCUCCCUCUUGGAUUUCUUUGCUGAAUCUCUUAUUUUUCUUCCAUUCUUGUCUCUGCUCAUCUUCCUACAACCAGUCCUCUGCCUUUAGAACUUUUCCCAAUCACUGAAGAACUUCUGGAAUGACGUAGAAAUAGGAAGGGAGUGAGAUAGAACACGAUGACCUUCCCAGAGUCGAGAGGUCCUAGGCAUUCAAUAAAACAUUGGGGGUUUGGGGAAAUUUUUUUCUU